rnacentral:rRNA from 1 species
GAUGAACGCUAGCGGCAGGCUUAAUACAUGCAAGUCGUGGGGCAGCAUGAGUAGCAAUACUUGAUGGCGACCGGCAAACGGGUGAGGAACACGUACACAACCUUCCUUCAAGCGGGGAAUAGCCCAGAGAAAUUUGGAUUAAUACCCCAUAAUAUAUUUGAUAAGGCAUCUUAUUAAUAUUAAAGCUUCGGCACUUGAUGAUGGGUGUGCGGCUGAUUAGAUAGUUGGCGGGUAACGGCCCACCAAGUCUACGAUCAGUAGCUGAUGUGAGAGCAUGAUCAGCCACACGGGCACUGAGACACGGGCCCGACUCCUACGGGAGGCAGCAGUAAGGAAUAUUGGACAAUGGACGAAAGUCUGAUCCAGCCAUGCCGCGUGAAGGAUUAAGGUCC